AAAUAAAAAAGAAAAGUUGUUUUUUCUAAAAAUACUAAAUUAGAGUUUUUAACUCUAAAUUUAAGUUUUUAAUUUUAAUACCUUUUUUAAUUGCGAUAGCGCGAUGGUUUGGUUUCGGCUCAGCCCUACGGCAUUCAAAAGUCACAUUAAUAAAGUUAUUUUAAGAUAACAAGUGCUAUCUUAAGAUAACUCUAUUAAUGUGAUUUCGGAAUGCGUGUAUAUUCACAUAAAUGUCUUGAUUGUAAGAUAACUCGAGUUAUUUUAAGAUAACAUAAAUGUGAUAAUUCUAUCUUUUCUAAUGCGCAUAUGUGUAAAUGAACGUUGCUUAGGGUGCGGAUACGUAAAGUAGCUCACAAAACAACAGCCUAGAUGAAUUUCCGGCCGUAUUGACAUUUAUUUUAAUACGUCAUUUGUAUUGUCCUUGUGGUGUCGCGUAUGUGCUCUGCUGUAGAGUUCGCUCUGCGGUGGAGAACAAGAUGCAUUUUGUUAGUUUUGUGUUGUGAUGUAUUGUCCCGUGUUAAUUAUGUAAAGAGAAUAAUUGUAAUUUUGGUACUAUUUUUAGUUAAAUUUUCUGCACAUCUUGCACAUCUUUUUUCUGCGCAUUCAGUCUUCAACGUGUAAUGACAGAGUCGAACAUACAUUUUUGUAAUAAAUUCGCUGUUGAGUGAAAUUUUUCUUUCAUACAUCACAGGAGUUGUCCUGUAUCUCAGCAUCUGUUUUAGUUGUUUUCUCUCACAUGUAGUUGGCUUGGCUUACGCCACUAUAUAUCUAGUUAAAUCUUGGCAUUCAUUUUUUUGCUUUGCUAAAUUGUAUUUUUGGUAAUAUAGAACAGACAGCCAAUUACUGAUAUGAAAAAUCGUAAGAAUAAUAUUAAACGAAGAUCCAUACAAUGUAAAUUGGAGAAACUGAUUACAUUACAACGAACGAGUGAAUGAUCAGUGAAAAACAAUCUAAGAAAUGUAUGGAUGCUGAGUCGUUUACAACACAUGUAAAAAAGUGCGCCAAAUAUAAUUUUUUUAAAAAAAUCUGCCGAAUUUAUGGA